CGCAUGAGUGGCGGACGGGUGAGUAACGCGUGGGCAACCUGCCCUGUACAGGGGGACAACACUUAGAAAUAGGUGCUAAUACCGCAUAACGGGGGAGCCGCAUGGCACCCCCCUCGAAAACUCCGGUGGUACAGGAUGGGCCCGCGUCUGAUUAGCUGGUUGGCAGGGUAACGGCCUACCAAGGCGACGAUCAGUAGCCGGCCUGAGAGGGUGGACGGCCACAUUGGGACUGAGACACGGCCCAAACUCCUACGGGAGGCAGCAG
rnacentral:rRNA from 1 species